AGGAUCUAAUAUUCCUAUCCUUUUCAGACAUCGUGAUCCCGUCGCUGCUGAUAGCGGCGCUGUUCAUCGGAAACGCGUUCAUCGUUCUCAUCAUAUACAAAUACCGGAAACGAAAAACCGAAGACCUGGAGGACGAGUUCAACACCAUUCCACUCAGCGUCAACGGCAAUGUGCAUAGUGCGGGCAACGCGGUUUAGUUAGGAGAAAGUUACACACCGACUGGCGGCGUGGACAGCUGUCGAGCGUCUGUUUAAACGCUGGGGAAAACGCUGCGUUUUUUUACACGGAACUAAUUAAUAUGCUUCUGUUGAAGGUUUUAUCGGUUUUCGAAAUAUCUGGAGCUCGAACAACUAAAAAAUCCGUCUCCUUUUAAUAAUUGCGUUUAUGCGGCCAUUUAACAAUGUUAGGAAAUGCAGCGUUUUCCGUAAAAGACAUUUAUUCGUAAUUAUGCUCUCUUAUAAACUAAAUCCCCAGUACAGUGGCGUCUGGUAAAGGAAUGGGAGAUAUUUAUUUCUUCGACGAAUGUUGUCACGUAUGCUGUAUAAACGCAUUUAGUGUUAGUUUUACACCUAUAAAUAUAUUCUGCAUGUUUUGUGUCCAAAAUAGAUAUGUAUUAGACGUGUAGAAGCCCCAUUCCUCAAAUAAAACUGUCCGUGUCCAUAAUUUUUCAUCUUGGAAACGCUUAGCGUUACUAAUAUCCAAUAAAAUCGGUGUGUAAAAAUGUUUAUUAUCGGGCGCGGGUUUUCGACCGCGCGGCCGAGCGUGUCGUCGUCAGCUAACCGCCGCCUUAGGCCUUAAGUUACCUUAUUUAUUUGUUAAUUUACUAGAGCGUGGGUCAUCAAAUGAUGUAAGCAGUAAGACGUAGUCAAUCCUCUCAUGUCUUUCUUAAAGUAUUAGAUAUUAAGUAAGGACUGAUAUUGAUAUGAAGGUACUCGAAAUUUUCUAGAUUUUUCCAUUUUUGUUGCAGUCACCGCGAACACUAGUGCGUCAAUUAAGAGCUUUUGAUAGGAAACGGAUGUAGAAUGUACUCGUGUUUACUUGAAACUAAUUUCUCGACAUUGUUAAUGUUUUUGUAUGUAUUGGCAAAAUCUGUAUAAAUUCUGUAAUGAAUAAAAACCACUAUCUUUA
rnacentral:lncRNA from 1 species